UUAAGUCAUCGCAAUAUUAUGUAUGUCUGUUUAUACCUCCACUGUGUAACCUUCGUGUUUUGAAAAUUCACAUAUCAUUAGUAUUAUCACCGUUGACAAGUGCGGUUCGUUCGACACGCUCCUAACAUUAUUUAUACUCCUAUGUCAAAGUACAUACGUCCAAAGUACAUACGUUCUUCUAUGUGGAGGACCUCCCAUAGGCUGUCCACGGAUAACAACAGUAUCUCCAGAUGUCACCUUUGGAAGGAAAAUUUAGCGUCAUGAAAAAAAUCUAGAUAAUCUCUGGACGAGCCAUUAUACCGACCUGACAACCCUGAAAAUGCCGCUAAGAUGAUACUUCAGAUAUCGUAACCAUAUGUUCUAUAGCCUGUUUCCUGCCAGCUGGGCGAGCAGACAAGAAGUCAACAUCACACGGCGGCAAUAACGAGUCACAAGAAUCGCUGACGAAACACGCGUGAAUUCAUCGCAAUAGGCCGGCAUGAUCCGCGGUGUGAAUUCUCACCUGUUUCACCACUCCAUUUCUCAAUUUUACUGGUGCCUGAGGUGCGCUCAUGAUGCGUUCCACAAUGUUCUCCGAAGAAAUGGAAUUUCGCAGUUAACGUCGAUUCUAUUAGCGCUCCACUCGUGCGCUCUCGGAUCCAAUUAUGUAUAGCUGCAGCUCGAGUUCUGUGAGAUAAUUUAUCGCUCCUCUUGUGUAUUAUUAUUAAAAAUACGCGAGACUACGCUCAGGAGUAAAUUGACAUGUUGGGCUGUAAUACGGUCAGAGAAGCAAAGACUGGCGGUCACUCACGCUUUCCACGUAUCAUGCGGAGUAGUAGUUGUCCGGCACGAGCGCAAUCUACAUCAAAAACACGCUGAGAAAUUCGUUUGAUUUGGUGGUGAUGUGGCAACACGCGACAUACAGCACGCGGCACGGUGUCGCACCCUAUGCUGCGACUUCGAGCUUCGAGCUUCGAGCUUCGAGCCUCGAGCCGUCGAGCACGAGAAGAGGUAGCGAGAAAUUGAAUCGAAAUGAUCGAAAUCGUAUGUAGAUCGAACGAAUCAUUUCUUUUAACUGCAUUAUCAACGACAUUAUUAUUAAAGACGACCAACCACGAACAAUUUUCGUGACUAUCAAGGGAGCUUACUAAUUCUAUUUUUUUUAAUCAAAAAAAUUUUUUUUUUAUGCUUUCUAAUAAGAAAAUAGGAUAUCCUUCGAUCCUUUUUUCAAUGCCCGAAUAUAUAUUUAAUUUAUAAUAUAUAUUUUAUUUCGUUUCAAAUGCAAAGAAUUCUAGGAAGUGCGAGUAAAACGAACAGACCUUCGAUAUCACACAAUUGGAUAUCAAAUAGAGAACUUUGAAGGCUUGAAAAUUUUUCUACUUGGUAGCCAAUUGUGUGACAUUAUGUUUAUAUAUAUUUCUUGUUAAAAAGCUCCCUAAACGUGAAUAUUUUAGCUUAGUCAGCUAUUAUUCUAUUAUUGAAUAUAUCGAUCUUUUAUAUAGCUGUUUGAAGAAUAACAAAUACGAAAUGUUUUACCCCAUAUCAAAUCUACUAUUAUGUCACUGACAAUGCUACUUAUAUUCACAAUAGAGCGUAGAGAGUUUUCCUAAUACACGCUAAUAAAGUUGACAGACUUUAGUAAUAUUAAUAAGUGAAAACAAUCUAAUUUAUCAUCGCACAUAUCAGUCUUUAAUAUCAUUUCAAACUCACAAAAUCUUCAUAUACAGACAUGUAUAAUUUUCAUUCAUUCGUUUUUGAAAUGAACGAAUUAAAUUUUAAGUACAAUUUUGUGUGUGAUAAGUUUGGAAUUUAUAUUCUCUUAGUGAAUGUAUUAGCCAUAGAUAUUAAAAUUAUCUUUAACAAGCUUUCAACUAAAAUAUUAUAAAAAUUUCGACAUAUCUAUAAUAUAUCUUGUUUAGCAUUGCAAUGAGAUAUGAACACUAAUAAUCGUAUGGUAUUUCAGUGUAAUUAUGUGAACAGUAUAAUUUUUUCUCUUAUCUAUUACAUUUUUCUAUAUAUCCUACGAUGAUUAUAUUCUAGCGCAUGUUCUUUGACUUGAACAAAGAAAUGGAAAAGAUGGGAAAGAUGCAAUCACCAACGAGGUGAUAUAAUAAUAAAUAUUUUAAUAUUUGUAUCUUUUUAUCUUCCACAUAGAAUUCUAUAAAUAGUUGUAAACUUAGAAAAACAUGAUAUUUAAUCAUUUUAUUGAUGGAAAUAUUAAUGCUAUUUAUAAAGUUUAAAAUAUCCAUAAUUUCCUCAUCAAGAAAGGGAAAAAUAAAGCAUACUUAAUAUUU